rnacentral:rRNA from 1 species
UCAAAUCAGGUAGGACUACCCGCUGAACUUAAGCAUAUCAAUAAGCGGAGGAAAAGAAACUAACAAGGAUUCCCCUAGUAACUGCGAGUGAAGCGGGAAAAGCUCAAAUUUAAAA